AAAGUAUUCAAAGCCAUUUAUUUCUCAACACAGAGGUUCCCAUGGAUGAGUGCACCCAUUCAAGUUGGGUUAGUUGGCUUCUGUUUGGUGUUUGCUACACCCCUGUGUUGUGCCCUGUUUCCUCAGAAAAGAUACAAAAAUUUGGGUCUCACCAGGUUGCCCAGGCUGGUCUCAAACUCCUGGCCUCAAGAAAUCCUCCUGGUUCAGCCUCACAAAGCUCCGAGAUUACAGGUGUGAGCCACUGCGCCCAGCCUCAAAUAUUUUUUUUAAACUAAUUACAUAUCAAAAUAUUAGCAGUUUUUCUGUUCCAUGUCUGUGACAAGCUUGGAGGCCGAGUUGCAAGCUAAGAUCCAAGAGAGCCAUCCUGAAUUGCGACGCGUGUACUUCAAUAAGGGAUUGUAAAGCAGGGAGGAAACCUCUGCAGCUCAUUCUGCCACUGCAAAGCUGGUGUAGCCAUGCUGGUGAGAAAAAUCCUGUUCAACCUGGGUUCUCCCAGUUACGGAAACCUUUUAAAGAUCCACAUUAGCCUUUUAGAAUAAAGCUGCUACUUU
rnacentral:lncRNA from 10 species